UGUGGGAGCGGGCUUGCCCGCGAUGGCGGUGUGUCAGGCAAUAACAAUGUUGGAUGUGCUGGACUCAUCGCGGGCAAGCCCGCUCCCACA
rnacentral:antisense_RNA from 1 species